rnacentral:rRNA from 1 species
AUGAGUCUCCUAUGCUGGAACUGCCGCGGGGCUGGCAAACCCGUGACAAUUAAUGAGCUUCGCACUAUGACGAAGCAACUUGCCCCUUCGAUUGUAUGCAUUGUAGAAACUCAGAUCGAGGGCUCCCGUGUGGAUAAUAUGGUAGGAACUCUAGGUUUUAAUAAGAGUUUUGCGGUUAGUAGCUCUGGUAGAAGUGGAGGUUUGGGAAUUAAGGACAGUAAAACUGAGCCUCUUUCCUGGCCUCUCACGCCUCCAUCCUCCUAG